AGUUAAGCAUUGACAUAAAUUCAGCAAGUUUGAGUGUUUAGCACUACUGUUGACACAACUAUCAUCUAUGUUGCACUACAAUUUCGUACCCCUGUCACCUGUUAGUCUUGCGCUCUUUUUAGUCUUGUAGUCUUGUAUACUUCAAUUAUGCAUGUGAGAGAGACGUCGAGCAUGAUUCGGCAAGAAAAAGCGCAAGAACAAACAACAGAUGACGAUAAUAGACAAUGGAUGCCAAUUCUUUGUAAAACGCAAUCUAGCUGUGUUUAGUGGUGGUAAUGGGUUAUGGUCGGUCCUAGUGCUUCCUUCACAAUCCAACUUGGUCUUUAUGCAUUUUUAGCUCAAAAUUGAAUAGAAUUAGAGCCUGACUUUUUUAGAGCCCGACCUUUGAAUUAUGUCAAAUUUCGAGGCCUUGUACCACCCCUAGCUGUGUUAAGCCUGCUCAAAGAGUUGAGACGUUCAGUUAUCUGUGGUUUAUUUGCCUGAUAAUCUUGAGCUGCACCCUCAUUUGUUAUUGGUGGUCAUCAGCUCAUGACCAUAUACGAUGCAAUGCCAGAUCAGUUAAGCACUUAAGCAUUGACAUACAAUUCGGCAAGUGCGAGUAUUUAGCAAGACUUCUUACACAUCUAGAGUACGUUGCACUACACUUUCCUACCCCCAGCGCCUGUUGGUCUUGCGCUCUUCUUAGACCCUCCACAAUGUGUGUAGAGAGUGAUGCCUAAAUACUCUCUCUCCAUUUUAGGCAUCACUCUUCACACUGCAGGUAACAUGCUAAAGUGAUGCUAGAGCUUGCAAAUUUGGGAGCGAUGCAAGUUGAAGCAUCGGUGCCAGCCAAUAAAAAAUAUUUUGUGUAGUCCUUGAUUGCUUAAAAGUAUCUGGUUGCAGCACAUAAAGAACAAAUAUAGCACUAGUUUACCUUAUAUAGGGAUCCACAUUUGUAGCUAGCUUCGGUGCCAAUUUUAUUGGUACAUUGUAGCAUGUCAUAGUGAUGCUUGUUUUUUUAUCAUGGGACCUACUUUUUUUCAAGCUUCACUACCACACUGUGGAGGGCCUAGUCUUUGUCCUCUUGUAUACUUUUUUUUUUGAAAAGAAUGUAUACUUCAAUUAUGCAUGUGAGAGAGAGACGUCGCAUGGACCAGUUUGCCACAGCUUCCGUGCUGUGGAGCAAGAUUCGGCAAGAAAAAGCGCAAGAACCAACAACAGAUGAGAGAUGACGAUAACAGCAGGCGAGUGGCUACGGAUGCUCAGAAACCAGAGCACCGCAGUGGUCGAGACCGUGCAAGCACCGGCCGCGCCACAAAUCCAUUUCUUUCCGAUACAUGAUGAUCCUAUAGGCUGCAACGAUGAGCGGCGCCGGCAGAAGGCGGCGGGGCACGAGCUCCAUUGCCCCGUCCCCGUCCCCGACCUCCUCUUCCUCGUCCUCCGGCCGCCCGGAGCCGCGCCCCUCCCAGCUCCCGCAGUGGAAGUUCUCCCAGGUCCUCGGCGACCUGCCGCACGCGGCCGCCGGCGGCCGCCGCGACGCGGACGAAAUCUCGGCCAUCGAGUUCGACGGCCGCGGCGAGUACCUGGCCGCCGGCGACCACGCCGGGCGCGUGAUCCUCUUCCGGAGGGCCGGCGAAGACGCGGCACGGCCCCGCGCCGAGCUGGAGCGCACGGACCGCGCCGGCGCGCCGCCGCCGAGGUACAGCUUCGCGACGGAGUUCCAGAGCCACGAGUCGGAGUUCGACGUGCUGCACAGCCUGGAGAUCGGCGAGAAGAUCAAGAGGGUGAGGUGGUGCGCGCGGCCGAACCGCUCCCUGUGCAUGCUCGCCACGAACGAUCGCACCGUCAAGCUCUGGAAGGGCAGGUCUCGGAACACAAGGCGCCGAAGGAAGGGGACGGCGAGCCGCGCCGGCGCGCGAGCACCGCGGCGUCGCUGCCUCUGCAGGAACCACGCUCUGAACGGGCAACCACGAAACCGAGGGGCUCGUCUGCAGAUUCUGCCGACCAAAUUGAAAAGGUAGGUGAUGUUGGCGAUGGGUACUCUGCGAAGUGCCGGAGAGUCUUCGAUCGUGCUCACGAGUUCAACGUCAAUUCCAUCUCGAAUAACUGUGACGGGGAGACGUUCGUGUCCGCGGACGACCUGCGGAUCAACCUGUGGCACCUGGAGGUGACGAGCCAGUGCUUCAAUAUCGUCGACCUGAAGCCCGCGGACAUGGGGGAUCUCGUAGAGGUGAUCGCCACGGCCGAGUUCCACCCGUCGUCCUGCAGCCUGCUGGCCUACGGCAGCUCCGGCGGCCUCGUCCGGCUGGUCGACCUGCGGCGGUCGGCGCUCUGCGACCAGAGCGCCAGAACAUUCCGGGAUCGCGGGAGCCGCCCUCAGCCCAGCACGUUUUUCACCGAGAUAAUCUCGUGCAUCACCGAUCUCAAGUUCACUGGCGAGGGGAGAUACCUUCUAACUCGUGACUACAUGAACCUCAAGCUCUGGGACAUGAGCGUGGAGACCUCACCGGUGGCCACAUACAAGGUGCACGAGUUCCUUCGCCCAAAGAAAUGUUGCUUGUCUGCUGGUGCCGCAGCUGUCAGAAUUGUACGCCGAGGACUACAUCUUCGACCGGUUCAGCUGCUGCGCCAGCAAGGAUGGGAGCUACUUCGCCACUGGAUCUUACAGCAACACGUUCAAAGUUUUCACCCGUACUGCUUCACAGACCACUGGUACUACGUUAGAAGCUAGCGCCAAUCCUUACAGGGUACAAUCACAUACCUCUGCAAAGAUUCCAGCAUUGCUCAGCAAUUUCUCUCUCGGAGUGAGUAGAAAAGGUCAGGAUGGUCCCAGGUCAGACGGCAAGGAGGAAAUUCCAUGCAACAUGGCAUCAAGGGUCACACAUCUGGCGUGGCACCCGACGGAAAACUUCAUCGUCUGUGCAGCCAAUAACAGCUUGUACAUGUACCAUACAUAAGCACACUCAUGUCAUAUUUACAGAUUAAAAUGCAGAGUAGCAUUCGUAACUAUUUAAGCCCAGGAAAGAAGAUGCUUUGCCAC